UCGGGAAUAUUGCGCAAUGGAGGAAACUCUGACGCAGUGACGCCGCGUGCAGGAAGAAGGUUUUCGGAUUGUAAACUGCUUUAGACAGGGAAGAAAGAAAUGACGGUACCUGUAGAAUAAGCUCCGGCUAACUACGUGCCAGCAGACGCGGUAAUACGUAGGGAGCAAGCGUUAUCCGGAUUUAUUGGGUGUAAAGGGUGCGUAGACGGGUAUACAAGUUAGUAGUGAAAUCCCUCGGCUUAACUGAGGAACUGCUACUAAAACUAUAGAUCUUGAGUACUGGAGGGGAAAGCGGAAUUCCUAGUGUAGCGGUGAAAUGCGUAGAUAUUAGGAAGAACACCGGUGGCGAAGGCGGCUUUCUGGACAGAAACUGACGUUGAGGCACGAAAGUGUGGGGAGCAAACAGG
rnacentral:rRNA from 1 species